UGGGGGAUAUUGCACAAUGGGGGAAACCCUGAUGCAGCAACGCCGCGUGAAGGAAGAAGGUCUUCGGAUUGUAAACUUUUGUCCUUGGUGAAGAUAAUGACGGUAGCCAAGGAGGAAGCUCCGGCUAACUACGUGCCAGCAGCCGCGGUAAUACGUAGGGAGCGAGCGUUGUCCGGAUUUACUGGGUGUAAAGGGUGCGUAGGCGGAAGAGCAAGUCAGUAGUGAAAUCCAUGGGCUUAACCCGUGAACUGCUAUUCUUGAGUGAAGUAGAGACAGGCGGAAUUCCUAGUGUAGCGGUGAAAUGCGUAGAUAUUAGGAGGAACACCAGUGGCGAAGGCGGCCUGCUGGGCUUUUACUGACGCUGAGGCUCGAAAGUGUGGGGAGCAAACAGGAUUAGAUACCCUGGUAGU
rnacentral:rRNA from 1 species